AUAUAUAAUGUGAUGUUAAUUUUAAAGUAAUUUAUGACAUAAUACAUAAUUUUAUUAUGAAUUUAGCGUAACAUAUAUAUAGUCCAAGAAGAUUAUUUAUCAAGGGAAGGGGUAUUAUCAAAUAUGACGUGUACUAUUCUUAUUACCCUUAUUAUAUUAUAAAUACCGUAAUUUGAUACACGCACGAUUAGUAUUUCUUACGAUAUCUAACAACAUGUGACACGUACUUUAGCAAGUAUAUUACAAGUGGAAUAAAUUUCAGUGUUAAAUUUUAGAAAAUUUAAUUUACAACAAUAAUGAAAUUGCUGUAGAUAUUUAGAAGUGGCAAUAAUAACUGUUCAUACAUUCAUGUUCAUGUAAGUUUAUAUCAUAGUCAAAUCAUUAUAUACAGGUUUUAGCUAACCACCAUUUUGGGUUGUAUGGUGAACUAUUAGAUGGCGGUUACUCAUUAACAAGAUGGCGGUUGAAUGACAGAUCAAGACUACAGAAUAACCCUCCUAUAUGUUUUUAUUCAAUUAAUCGAAAAUAUUAACAAAAUUGUACACUAUUCUUCCUUUUUGUAAACGAAGAUAUAAUUCUUUUUAAUAUUUAUUUCUGAAGUUUUCAAAGGAUUAUGGUGUAUUAAUAAAAUUAUAUUUCGAACGAUACAA